UUUUUUUUUUUGCUGGUGUAUCGCCGCGCGUUUUGCCUCCACAAUCGGUUUAUUCUCCAGCCCUCCGGGUCGCAGUGUGUUUCAGUUACUAAUCGGGAUUUUUUCGCUCCUCUCUCCCCUCUCUGCUUCAGAGGAUCUGCAGUUUCAAAAAGCCGAUUGAGCACGGCGUGAGGCUGACGACCGGGGGGGGCUCCUACCGCCACUAGAGCAGUCCUCGUUCCGUGCCCCGCAAGGAGGAGCCCCAGUUGAACCCACAGCGCAUCGCAUCCCCGCUUUCCCCCCCAUAUCCCCAGCAUCUCGCACUCCCUGUGGAUGUCACCAGCAUCGCUGUUUCAGGGCUGGGGAUGGUACUCCCAGCUCAGCCGGGCACUUUCAUUCAUAAAAAUGCAAGAUUGCAUCCAUGAAUGUGUGCAUAAUGAACCCAGAAGGAAUGCGGCACUAAAAGAAGCCUUUGUAAUGUUGCUAUUUUAAGGAGACCCUUGGGUAUGGCACGUGUUGAACUGAGUUUCUCUAACAUCUUACAACAAACCAAAAUGUUUAGAUCCUCCCACUGAUGUAAAACAUCAUAAAAAAAAUACAUAAUCAAUCUAAACUGGCUAUGGUUUUGACCAGGAAUUAUUGCUCUUGUGAAUUGGCUCUGUAUUGUAGCUAACUUUUACAUGGCCUAAUAAUAAACAUCUCCUCCUUCCAGCUGGAUGAAUGUUUCCCUUCUGGUGGAGAUGAGAUCCCAGCCUGGAUAAAACACCUCUUGUCCUUUCUCUUCUGGGUCACUCAGGUUCAGUGAAACAUCACGACUUACAUCAGCCAAAGCCUUUGAUCAGGGGAGGGAAAGGUCUGACAUGGAUGGGGUUGACAGCCACGCUGCAAAAAUCCCUCAUUGUGCAAGAAGCCAGUCCAAUGACCGAGUGUCACCAAGGGUGAGACAGCCUUUUCUGCUCUGUUUUCACUUGGCUAUUGCUGGUGUUUUGUUUGCAGUCAAGGCCAAAAUAUACAAGCAGCAGCUUUGGACACGUUGCGUUUGUGCAUUUAGCCAGAUAGCCAUGAUGAAUUUCUGGCCAUUUUUGUUGCAUGUGUUGUAAAGAGCAGAAUUUUGCUGUCAACGUUCUAUUUUUACAUGGUCAGAGAGGAGAAGGAGUAGAAUAGAAGUGUAAUUGACACUGUACAAAGCUGAAGUCGUAACUCUUGGCUGAGAUGACUGGAAGCUGUGUGUGAUGGCUUCUUUGUUGGCUCUUUAAGAAAACAUCUGCUCUGGGUCUCGUGGACAAAACCCAGGGUGAAAAAUUCUCACACUGCAAAAUGAGAAGCCAGAUGAAAAGCCCAGAGAAGCUGUGGACGCUCCACCUCUGGAGGUGCUCAAGGCCAGGUUGGAUGGGGCUUGAUCUGGUGGGUGGUAAACCUGCUCAUAGCCCAGGGUUAGGACUGGAUGACCUUUGAGGAUGUUUUCAGCCUAAGCUGUUCUAUGAUUCAAUGGCUUUCUCCAUUAGCAUCCAGCACUCAAGGAACAGGGCUGCUUUGGAAAUGAAUGUCAGAAUAAGGAAAAUAGGCUUUUUGUACUCACAAAAAAACAAAUGCUCAAGAAGAGUGAGGGUGAGAGUCAAAGCUAUUAAAACACUUCCUGGGACAGUAUUUUGGUUUUCAGCAGCUUUCUCUUCUGUUUUGUUUCAAUUUCUUCUAAACCCCAUCCUCUGAGUGGUAUGAAAUAAAAAAUAGUAAUAAAUAGAUUUUUCUG